CCUACGGGUGGCAGCAGUGGGGAAUCUUGCGCAAUGCGCGAAAGCGUGACGCAGCAACGCCGCGUGGGGGAAGACGGCUUUCGGGUUGUAAACCCCUUUCAGUUGGGACGAAGCCUCGUCCGUUAACAGCGGUGCGAGGUGACGGUACCUUCACAAGAAGCCCCGGCUAACUACGUGCCAGCAGCCGCGGUAAUACGUAGGGGGCAAGCGUUGUCCGGAAUCAUUGGGCGUAAAGAGCGCGUAGGCGGUCCGGUAAGUCCGCUGUAAAAGUCAAGGGCUCAACCCUUGAAAGCCGGUGGAUACUGUCGGGCUAGAGUCCGGAAGAGGCGAGUGGAAUUCCUGGUGUAGCGGUGAAAUGCGCAGAUAUCAGGAGGAACACCUAUGGCGAAGGCAGCUCGCUGGGACGGUACUGACGCUGAGGCGCGAAAGCGUGGGGAGCG
rnacentral:rRNA from 1 species